rnacentral:rRNA from 1 species
CCUACGGGUGGCAGCAGUGGGGAAUAUUGCGCAAUGGGCGAAAGCCUGACGCAGCGACGCCGCGUGAGGGAUGAAGGUCUUCGGAUCGUAAACCUCUGUCAGCAGGGAAGAACGGUCACUGUGCUAAUCAGCAGUGAAUUGACGGUACCUGCAAAGGAAGCACCGGCUAACUCCGUGCCAGCAGCCGCGGUAAUACGGAGGGUGCGAGCGUUAAUCGGAAUUACUGGGCGUAAAGCGCUCGUAGGCGGUAUGUCAAGUCAAGGGUGAAAUCCCCGCGCUCAACGUGGGAACUGCCUUUGAAACUGGCAAACUGGAGUGUGUGAGAGGAUAGUGGAAUGCCAGGUGUAGGAGUGAAAUGCGUAGAUAUCAGGAGGAACAUCAGUGGCGAAGGCGACUAUCUGGCACAUAACUGACGCUGAGGAGCGAAAGCGUGGGUAGCAAACAGGAUUAGAUACCCGGGUAGUC